UACGUAGGGGGCAAGCGUUGUCCGGAUUUAUUGGGCGUAAAGAGCGUGUAGGCGGCUAGAUAGGUCCGUUGUGAAAACUCGAGGCUCAACCUCGAGACGUCGAUGGAAACCAUCUGGCUAGAGUCCGGAAGAGGCGAGUGGAACUCCUGGUGUAGCGGUGGAAUGCGCAGAUAUCAGGAAGAACACCAACGGCGAAGGCAGCUCGCUGGGACGGUACUGACGCUGAGACGCGAAAGCGUGGGGAGCGAACAGG
rnacentral:rRNA from 1 species